CCUACGGGGGGCAGCAGUGAGGAAUAUUGGUCAAUGGACGAGAGUCUGAACCAGCCAAGUAGCGUGAAGGAUGACUGCCCUAUGGGUUGUAAACUUCUUUUAUAAAGGAAUAAAACGAGGCACGUGUGCCUUUUUGCAUGUACUUUAUGAAUAAGGAUCGGCUAACUCCGUGCCAGCAGCCGCGGUAAUACGGAGGAUCCGAGCGUUAUCCGGAUUUAUUGGGUUUAAAGGGAGCGUAGAUGGGUUGGUAAGUCAGUUGUGAAAGUUUGCGGCUCAACCGUAGAAUUGCAGUUGAUACUGGCAGUCUUGAGUACAGUUGAGGUAGGCGGAAUGCGUGGUGUAGCGGUGAAAUGCUUAGAUAUCACGAAGAACCCCGAUUGCGAAGGCAGCUUACUAACCUGUGACUGACGUUGAUGCUCGAAAGUGUGGGUAUCGAACAGGAUUAGAUACCCCGGUAGUC
rnacentral:rRNA from 1 species